UACGUAGGGCGCAAGCGUUGUCCGGAUUUAUUGGGCGUAAGAGCUCGUAGGCGGUCUGUCGCGCGGCUGUGAAAACCCGAGGCUCAACCUCGGGCCUGCAGUCGAUACGGGCAGACUAGAGUGUGGUAGGGGAGACUGGAAUCCUGGUGUAGCGGUGAAUGCGCAGAUAUCAGGAGGGAACACCGGUGGCGAAGGCGGGUCUCUGGGCCGAAUAACUGACGCUGGAGGAGCGA
rnacentral:rRNA from 1 species